ACGUGAAUUAGCAAAGAUCGCUUCCACGCUCAGUGCUUCACAAUGCAUGCCUUUAUUUGGCUACAUAUUUUCCAAUGUAACUCCAUUUAAAAAUUAGGAGUAUGAGUAAUACUCCUUUAUUAUUUCUAAACGCCAAUCCACAUUCAGAUUUCCCAAGCUGUUCGCAACGUCUCUGGAAGCUAUUACUUUUUCCGGUGAGGAUUUGACUGAGGACUACGCGACAUAUUUUGCGGUAAACUUGGCCGUAAACUUCACGCGGGCGGUGAGACAGGCAAGGGCACCUUCCAACCCUCGGAUGAAAAACAGGGACCUCGAGGCCAGGACCUCAGCGCCCCGCCCCAGGACGUCAGCCUGGCCCCUCCUGGCGCGCGAUUGCGCCCUGGGAACGCGCCCUGGGCUCAUCUGCGUAGGUGCGGGCGGACCUCGGCGCUCUGGCUCCUGAGCCCUGUGGUGGGGAUUCGUGCGUGGGUCGAGCUGUGGGAAGUUUCUUCCCGGCCUGGCAACUUCCAGAGGAAAGAGGGCUGAGACCCCGAGGGCGCGAGCGGAGGGCCAAGGGGGUCUCUCCAAGCGGCAUCGGAGCAGGCGAUCGGUGCGGACCGUGAGCCUGGCGGACGGGGGAAAGCCGUGGCCGCCCCGGGAGGGGACGCCCCCAACUACCAGAUCGCGGUGCGGCGAUCCGCGGGCGCGGGGUCUGCUUCUGCGCGAGGCGGGGUAGAACUUGAGGCUUUUCGUAAUGACUGCUUGGUGUAUUUUGCAACCCUGGUGAGUCAUCAUCUGUAAAGCAGACCGCCCCGGGCAGGUUACUGAGCCCGGAGAGACAACUGCUGUUAUGUUUAGAAGUUGCUUUGUUCUUUUCACGAGAUGACUCGGUAAACCUCACAUCCUUCUGAGGUUGGCAUAACCAUCUGCAUUAAAAAUAACAACCGAGGCUCAGGACGCGCCCUGGGUCACGAGCUAGCAGUGAGAGAGCUCUGAUUCAAGGGCAGGUGUGAUUUCCUUCCGGUCCUAGGCACUAACAUCACACCUGCCUAAAAACCAGUGCUGCGGCCUCUUUUCCCAAAUACAGAGAAGAUACAAUGGGAAGUGACUGCAGAUGAAACCUCACUGUGUGUCACGUGUUUGGGCUCCUAGCCCUCAGGCACUGGCAGGCCCUCUGUAUUUGUGGCCCUAAAAUUAAGUUUCCAGCUCCUGGGAAAACAAUUUUAUCUUAGAGCAUUCAGCUCCGGUGAAGUAGGAAGCAGGGGUACCUCGAGGAAUAGAAAUCUGACCUGAAAAGAGAGCACCCCUCUGACCUUAGACUUCCCUGCCUGGUUUCCUGGCAGAGGCAGGAAAGCCCAGGCUGGAGCAGGUCUGUAAAACGGAAGCAGUUCUUGAUCUCCCUGCCCAGAAUGAGCAAGAUACGGUGAUGCAGUUAUCUCCAGAAGCUACCAGAGAUUCUGGCAGCAGAAUGUUCGGAGCAGUUUUGAGAAGUACAAAGUGUACUAGGGAGGCUCAGGGGCAGGCUGCCAAGGAAGGGCUGUUCCAUUGCAGAACUUUCCAGAGUGAGGUCAGGCACAAGGGUCACCAGGCAGAGGAUGUCUCCAUUAUCCCAAGACAGCCCCCAGGGCCUUCAUUCUCCAUUCUUUACAAAUGCUGUGUUGUUACACAGUCUCCCUCGCCACCUUGAUACUGGUCAUGCUAUCCUGAAUAUCCUGACUUCAGGGGAUCCCACAGUGAUGGUUCACAAAGGGUUUCCACAAGGUCAUUGCUCUGACUCAUUUCAGACUUUUACAAAAUUGGACCAGAGAGCACCAGCAUAUUGCCCAGAGCCACAUAGAUUGUGACAGAAACAGAUCUAGGAGUCAAAGCGCCAUUCAGUUUGACACAGGUUUGUGUUGUUCAUGUUUUAGUAAUUCAUUUUUAAAAAAUAAGCAGUGAUAUAAUAUGGAUAAUCCACAAUUUAUUUAUCCAUUUCCUAGUCAAUGUAUAUUUGAUGAUCUCUGUUAGGAUGGCCUUAGGUCUGAGCCUAAACAACUCCAUUUUAACUUCAUUUUAAAAGACCUGCAGUUUCACCAGGCACGUCCACAGAUCCCUCCAGUAUGGCCUCAAACAAGUUACUUCCCCUCACCCUGAUAAAAGAGAGUGAAGCCCCUGGCAGGCUGUCCUUGCCUGAUAAGAGGGAAAGGCGAGAAGAUCAGAGUGGAGACCACCAGGCCAGGUGUUUCUGGUCUCAGGGUAAAUGAUGUCACUGAGAAAUCCGGUGGUAGCUGUUAAGAAUUGAAACAGGGGGAGGGUCAAGAGCCCCAAAAUUUAGUAUAAAUGAUAGAGCAAAUGAACAGGGAUUCAGCAGCUGAAACAAGAAUGCACACCAGCUGGAGAGCCUGAUGAGGACCUGACAUCCCAACACUUGUCAUUGUUCCUGAGCCUCUGCGUGAUCCUCGCCGCUCUCAAACUCUACCGCCUUGUCUGGACCUUGGUGAGAGCCAACUCCUCCCUAUGACCCCCUCCUCAACCGGCUUUCCACUCCACACCAGGAAAAGCCUGCCUUGGUUCCGGACUUGAUCACCACAGUCUGAGUGAGUGUGCAUCUGCUGGACUCAAAGCCUAAGACUUAAGACCUUUGAACUUAGCACACAGAGGGAAUGUCUGUCAUGAUUAAGUGUUUUGCAGUGCUUAGAAUUAAUCUAGAAUUGUUUGCUGUGAAUUAAUUAAUCUAGAAUAUUUGCUGUGAAUUGAUUUUGUCUAUUGCAGUGCCUACCAUUAAGGAUUGUCGUUUUCUUGAUUAAGAGCCUAUAGAGUAAAUCUGUAUUGAGUAAUUUGAGUGAAUAAAGCAUUGAAAAGGGGCAGAAGCGCAUGGACAUUA
rnacentral:lncRNA from 1 species